rnacentral:lncRNA from 1 species
AAAUUUCAAAAAGGCCAGAGUGGGGUCCAUAGAAGAGCAGAAGCAAUGAGUUGGAAGGACUUCUGUGCACCUCUAUUAGUCCCACUGCAUGGAAUCCUUAGGGUGUCAUAAUGAGGGACUCCAAUGAAAGAAUGAAAGAAUCUCUGAAGUGUUGAUUGGCUGUUUCUGGAACUUGGCCCAAGUUCCUACUACAGAUGUACCAUGUCCACUUUUCUCAGAAUUCAAGUUUCCUGGUUGGUUUUUUUCUCAUCCAAGAAUCUAAGAAGAGUCCAUAAAGAAGGCUGACAACAAAUGAAUGGAGAAAACACAAGCCCCAAAGCCUGCAGCACAGCCAGGGACCCUCUGUGAGCUGAGUCUGUGAGUUAGGGACCAGCUCUCUUCUCCAUGAAGCCUGCCCUGAUUCUCCCCAGAGGGAAGGCUGGCCCCCUUUUCCAAACUCCCACUACAUUUUGUCCAAACGAUGUUGGAAGCCACUGGGACUCCCCAAGAACAAUAUCCAAGUUGAAGACACCUUUUGCCACCCCCGCCAGUGGACAUGGAAGGAGUGCCGCACACACCCGCCCUGAAUGCAGAAGCAGCAGAGUUCACCCCAAGGAUUUCACCAAGCACUAGUGUUCCUUGUUUUGCUUGUUUUUGAUGCCUAAAGAGCCAACAAGUGACUAACAGACUGUUGUUCAUGGAUUGUCUAAAGUCAGCCUUCUAAUAGCACCCGAAGGGCUCCUCAUGCUGGUGCAACCCCGCUGCCACUGCUCCUGAGCCUAUGUUCCCUUCUCUCCACCAUGCACCUUCUGACAUCAUGACUCACUGGAGAACCAGGCCAGGAUCCCAACCACCCCGUGUCUCAGUGGGCCUGGGCGGGAGCCCUGUGCUGCCAGGAGGAGCAGAGAUAACAUUGAUUGUCCAGAAGCUCUACGAUGGAGACAGGUUGUCAUUGGAAGUCCAACAAGAGACAGAGGCAAGUGAGCUUUAUGGAGCACCUACUGUGUGCCAGGCCCCAUGCAACGGGCUUCUGUGGAGGCCUGCCCCUGCCAUCUUCACAACCCUCAGGUGAGCCAGCUUUAGCUUUACAUUUUAUAGAUGAAAAAAGCUGAGAGUUGAUGAGACUAAGAUACUAUUUGUGAGACCAAAAGAAAGAGGAAAAUCUCAUUUAAUCUCCAGGAUUUGUUAAAUUAGGCAAAGACAAGAAGGAACUUUUAUGUGAGGACAGACUGAAGUCCUGGCAUUUUCCAGCUCAGAAAGUCUGAGAAAGGAUAUGCUCAAGAACUAUCACAUGAAGGAAGAGCUCCUGCUUGACCGUGAGCUGGGCCGUCAAAUCCCACAUCCUCAUGGGGACUCGAUGCAGCCUGGAUAGCAGGGUGGUAAGACUCUCUGCUUCCUGAGCACAGGGUCUACCCUCCUCUUGUGAACUCUGUGUCCUUCACCAAGUCAUUGAACCUCCAUCUGCUUCCUCACCUGUUUAAGAAAGGAUGAUCGUAAUAGGACCCACAUCAUAGGGUUUUGUUAAGGGCUAAAAGAAAAAUAUGUAAAGCGCCUUGCCGAGUGCCUGGUACUACAGUAAGGAUUUGAUAAAUAUUAGCUGUUACAGUAAUUAGGAGUCAUAUUUUAUACCCUACAAGAGGCAUUUGUAGAUCAAAAGAAAUCUCACAUUACAGGGUGGGAAGUAAACUCACUAAACAUAGCCCCAAGGGUGGCACAAACGGAAAAUAUAAAUAGAAUAAAAAAGGGUUAGAUCACGAAUGGGUAACCUUUUCUCUACCAUAAGCCAGUGACACACAGGGGCAAAAAGAAAAUCCAUUUCUGGCCCCAUGUAAGUCAAAGAAGCCAUUAUAGGCUGUGAAGGGAAUUCAAUUAGUCACUGGUUGCCAUGCCAAUGCAAACAUCACCCUUCCACCUACUCUACCAUCAACACAUUUGAAUAAGUAACAAUGAUAAUAGCAUGCACUAAAAAUGCUAUUUUUAAAAAAGUUACAUGUGCUUCUUUCAAAAGUCUGGUUUUCAGAAAUAAUUGCUAUAGUCCAGAUGAGAAUUCACAUGGAAUCCCUAAAAUGGGUUGAGUAUCAUCAGAGAAGAGACAUCUGUAGAUUAUUAAGGGACUCUUAGGGUUUGGAGUUGAUUUUCUUGUGGGGGAGGGGAAAUUUUUUCAACAUUCCAAGCUUGAUCAAGCAACCCUUCAUGGUGUCAGAAAUUGAGCUCAGACAGUCCCUUGCUCAGCACUGCUCUCCUCACACCCUGAAGCCUGACCUGGAUCCCUGGUUUCAUUAUGCCUUCUUCAAGCUUUGCUUGAGUAUCUACAAUUUGGCAAUGUGUACCUAAAACUUAAAAAAAUACUUUGAUCUAAGAAUUUACUUAAAAAAAUACUUUGACCUCAGAAUCAAUCCUAAGAAAACCAAUACUGAUAUACAGAAUUUAUAGGAGCAAAAAUAAAAGUAAAGAACAGAAAUAACCAAAAUGUCCAAAUUAAAUUGUUAUACAUCCAUAUGCUAGAAUAUGAUGAGCUAUUAAAAAUGAGGCUGUCAUAAAAAUGAAUGAGAUCAUGUCCUUUGCAGGCACAUGGAUGGA